UCCCUGGCAGUCCAGUGGUUAGGACUCAGCGCUGUCACUGCUGUGGCCCGGGUUCAAUCCCUGGCUGGGGAA